CAGCCGCCGCGGUAAUACGGAGGGCGCGAGCGUUGUCCGGAUUCACUGGGCGUAAAGCGGGUGUAGGCGGUCGGGUAAGUCGGACGUGAAAGCCCGGGGCUCAACCCCGGAAGGGCGUCCGAAACUGCUCGACUUGAGGGCGGGAGAGGGAGGUGGAAUUCCCGGUGUAGGGGUGAAAUCCGUAGAUAUCGGCAGGAACGCCGGUGGGGAAGCCGGUCUCCUGGGCCGCGCCCGACGCUGAGGCCCGAAAGCUAGGGGAGCAAACCGGAUUAGAUACCCGGGUAGUCCUAGCCGUAAACGAUGCCCACUAGGUGUGGGGGAGUAUUUCCUCCGUGCUGUAGCUAACGCGUUAAGUGGGCCGCCUGGGGAGUACGCCCGCAAGGGUGAAACUUAAAGGAAUUGGCGGG
rnacentral:rRNA from 1 species